rnacentral:rRNA from 1 species
GGGAACUGCGUUCUGAACUGGGUGACUAGAGUGUGUCAGAGGGAGGUAGAAUUCCACGUGUAGCAGUGAAAUGCGUAGAGAUGUGGAGGAAUACCGAUGGCGAAGGCAGCCUCNUGGGAUAACACUGACGUUCAUGCCCGAAAGCGUGGGUAGCAAACAGGAUUAGAUACCNUGGUAGUCCACGCCCUAAACGAUGUCGAUUAGCUGUUGGGCAGCAUGACUGCUUAGUAGCGAAGCUAACGCGUGAAAUCGACCGCCUGGGGAGUACGGUCGCAAGAUUAAAACUCAAAGGAAUUGACGGGGACCCGCACAAGCGGUGGAUGAUGUGGAUUAAUUCGAUGCAACGCGAAGAACCUUACCUGGUCUUGACAUGUGCGGAACCCUCCAGAGACGGAGGGGUGCCUUCGGGAGCCGUAACACAGGUGCUGCAUGGCUGUCGUCAGCUCGUGUCGUGAGAUGUUGGGUUAAGUCCCGCAACGAGCGCAACCCUUGUCAUUAGUUGCCAUCAUUAAGUUGGGCACUCUAAUGAGACUGCCGGUGACAAGCCGGAGGAAGGUGGGGAUGACGUCAAGUCCUCAUGGCCCUUAUGACCAGGGCUUCACACGUCAUACAAUGGUCGGUACAGAGGGUAGCCAAGCCGCGAGGUGGAGCCAAUCUCACAAAACCGAUCGUAGUCCGGAUUGCACUCUGCAACUCGAGUGCAUGAAGUCGGAAUCGCUAGUAAUCGCAGGUCAGCAUACUGCGGUGAAUACGUUCCCGGGUCUUGUACACACCGCCCGUCACACCAUGGGAGUGGGGGAUACCAGAAGUAGGUAGGGUAACCGCAAGGAGCCCGCUUACCACGG